UGAUUAGAAGCUUGCUUCUAUGACGUUAGCGGCGGACGGGUGAGUAACACGUGGGCAACCUGCCUGUAAGACUGGGAUAACUUCGGGAAACCGAAGCUAAUACCGGAUAGGAUCUUCUCCUUCAUGGGAGAUGAUUGAAAGAUGGUUUCGGCUAUCACUUACAGAUGGGCCCGCGGUGCAUUAGCUAGUUGGUGAGGUAACGGCUCACCAAGGCAACGAUGCAUAGCCGACCUGAGAGGGUGAUCGGCCACACUGGGACUGAGACACGGCCCAGACUCCUACGGGAGGCAGCAGUAGGGAAUCUUCCGCAAUGGACGAAAGUCUGACGGAGCAACGCCGCGUGAGUGAUGAAGGCUUUCGGGUCGUAAAACUCUGUUGUUAGGGAAGAACAAGUACAAGAGUAACUGCUUGUACCUUGACGGUACCUAACCAGAAAGCCACGGCUAACUACGUGCCAGCAGCCGCGGUAAUACGUAGGUGGCAAGCGUUAUCCGGAAUUAUUGGGCGUAAAGCGCGCGCAGGCGGUUUCUUAAGUCUGAUGUGAAAGCCCACGGCUCAACCGUGGAGGGUCAUUGGAAACUGGGGAACUUGAGUGCAGAAGAGA
rnacentral:rRNA from 1 species